UCUUCCUCCAAUUGGCUCUCGACUUUAACGCCAUCUUCUUAGGAACCUCUGCGCCCUGAGAGCCAAGUGGAGGAAGAAGCGAAUGCGCAGGCUGAAGCGUAAAAGAAUAAAGAUGAGACACAGGUCCAAGUAAAAUAGCUCGUACACCCAUGGAGGCCAAAGGAGCAGAAAGAA